rnacentral:rRNA from 1 species
UACGGGGGGGGCAAGCGUUGUUCGGAAUUACUGGGCGUAAAGGGGUUGUAGGUGGUCUGUUAAGUCAGACGUGAAAUCCCUCAGCUUAACUGGGGAACUGCGUCUGAGACUGAUGGACUUGAGGGCAGGAGAGGAACGCGGAAUUCCAGGUGUAGCGGUGAAAUGCGUAGAUAUCUGGAGGAACACCGGUGGCGAAGGCGGCGUUCUGGACUGUUUCUGACACUGAAAAACGAAAGCCAGGGGAGCAAACGGG